CCUGAGCCGCUCUGCGCAGCCUCUCUGGACGCGGCCACCCUGGUCCUGGUUUCCCGCGGCGCCGGCCCCGGCCUGGGCGCCGGACCCCGAUGGCCCUUCGGCUGGCAAAAGGCCACUUGGAGAGGAGGAUUGAGGGGUUGCACCUGCAAGCCGCCAGAAGCCAAAGAGGGCAGACCCUUCCCUGGAGCCUUCGGAGGGAGCAGAGGACAGACCCUUCUCUGGAACCUUCGGAGGGAGCAGGGUCCUAACCCAUCUCGGUUUCAAACGCCUGGCCUCCGGAACUAUGAGACAGUAGGUUUCUGUGAUUUAAAUCACUCAUUGUGUGUCACUUGAUUAUGGCAGCCCUAAGCAGUGGGUACAGAAACCACUGUCCCUAAAAUGAUGGGUAUAACCACCCUAGUGAGUAGUAUCAUCCCUGGAGGCUUCGGAGAGGUCACACACCCCUUAACAGAUUCGAGGGUCCCACCCAAGGCCCACAUGCUCUGAGCCACCAUGCUAGAAGCCUUCUAGGCUCUGCUUGUUUUCUUAAUGGAAAGGGAUCUUCUCCUCCUGGUGUAUCUUCCCUGUUGGGAUUUGGCCAAUGCUCAUACCUUCGUAUUUGUGACUUGCGGGAUCCCACAUAUUAGUAUGGGUGAUAAGGGUUGUUCAGAGGAGAACUUCUGCAGGAUUUGCUUUGACAUGAGCCCUGGGGACAAGACAGGCUGCACCCAGAUCCACUGAGGUUGCCCAGCCUAGACCGUGCCUUGGAUGAGUCAUGUUUUAAAAAGCUGCUUGUAGAAAAUAAACUAGGCCCUGAGUAUACACUCAUGGUCAAAUAAAGGCACUUUUUCUCCACUGAGCCUAGA